AACGAACGCUGGCGGCAUGCCUAACGCAUGCAAGUCGAACGAGACCUUCGGGUCUAGUGGCGCACGGGUGCGUAACGCGUGGGAACCUGCCCCUAGGUUCGGAAUAACUCCCCGAAAGGGGUGCUAAUACCGGAUAAUGUCUUCGGACCAAAGAUUUAUCGCCUUUGGAUGGGCCCGCGUUGGAUUAGCUAGUUGGUAGGGUAAAAGCCUACCAAGGCGACGAUCCAUAGCUGGUUUGAGAGGAUGAUCAGCCACACUGGGACUGAGACACGGCCCAGACUCCUACGGGAGGCAGCAGUGGGGAAUAUUGGACAAUGGGCGAAAGCCUGAUCCAGCAAUGCCGCGUGAGUGAUGAAGGCCUUAGGGUUGUAAAGCUCUUUUACCCGGGAUGAUAAUGACAGUACCGGGAGAAUAAGCUCCGGCUAACUCCGUG
rnacentral:rRNA from 1 species